AAUGACACCAAUAUCUUAUCCUGAAUGCAUCUGAUCUCACUUGAUUUCAGAAGCUAAGCAGAUCUGGAUGUGAUUUAAUACUUGGAUUAGGGGGCCCAUCAAGGAAUACCAGGGAACUCUAGUUU
rnacentral:rRNA from 1 species